rnacentral:piRNA from 1 species
UGCAACCUCAGUUUGUAUAAGUGGACAGA